rnacentral:rRNA from 1 species
AUUGAACGCUGGCGGCAUGCCUUACACAUGCAAGACGAACGGCAGCAUAGGAGCUUGCUCCUGAUGGCGAGUGGCGAACGGGUGAGUAAUAUAUCGGAACGUGCCCUAGAGUGGGGGAUAACUAGUCGAAAGACUAGCUAAUACCGCAUACGAUCUACGGAUGAAAGUGGGGGAUCGCAAGACAUCAUGCUCCUGGAGCGGCCGAUAUCUGAUUAGCUAGUUGGUGGGGUAAAAGCCUACCAAGGCAACGAUCAGUAGCUGGUCUGAGAGGACGACCAGCCGCACUGGAGCUGAGACACGGCCCAGACUCCUACGGGAGGCAGCAGUGGGGAAUUUUGGACAAUGGGGGCAACCCUGAUCCAGCAAUGCCGCGUGAGUGAAGAAGGCCUUCGGGUUGUAAAGCUCUUUUGUCAGGGAAGAAACGGUAGUAGCGAAUAACUACUACUAAUGACGGUACCUGAAGAAUAAGCACCGGCUAACUACGUGCCAGCCGCCGCCGUAA